GCUUGGACGGCAACUGUUUGCAUUUCCCUGGUGGAAGCCUCCAGAUGAGACGAGUGCUAAGAAGUGAACUUUUUAUGUUCAGCUGGACAAAUUGUCAUUCCUAUCGAGUGCUCGUGCUUGAGCUACAGAAGGCAUUUGACACCACUGGACUUUAAAGCUCUUUCUGAGGAGUAUCACAACCCGGCCUUGAGAGAUCUGCAGUUUUGGAGUGUUUCAGGUUUUUAAGAGGUACUUCGAUUACAUGAGGUAGUGAGUAAGGAUGAAGUGAAGGAGAAGUAACAAAGAAAGGGCUGCAUAUUUUCUGCUUUACAUGGUCGUGAAUGAGAUCUGCUCUGAGCACCAGGAGCAAUGUUGCCAGAGAUCAGCAUUCUAGGGGAUGCCAAUUGUAGGUGUGCAGAAAUAAUGGUGUGACUCAAGACUGCUUUGACAGGCAAAUCCAUCUGAAGUCUGGGCAUAUCUAUCUAUUGGCUGGAAAAAAAGUUGAACCGUUUGUGUAAGAAAUAACAAUUCACACAAGUUCCUAACAUGAAUGAGCACAUACAAAGUAUGAAAAACUGUUCUACAGCUUCAAGUGUGACAGCUUGUUCAGCAAGGUGCUACAUAGUAUAAUUGCUCUGUAAAGGGAGUAGAUGUUUUGUCUUUGUUUUACUUUUUAUUGGAUGCUCGAGGUGGUUAUGUAGUCUGCAUCUACUACGCAUUAUGUACUGGUUACAUGCCGGUACUGCCCAGUUAUGCCUGACCAACUCCUCUUUGCUGUGGUUGUUUCUCUUCCACUCUCCCCACCUUGAAAGCCUCAGACAUCCAAGCCAGAGCUAUUUCAGUAACUGCAGCUAUGCCACUGAAUUGUAACUUUCAUUUUAUGUUGGGGAACUAAUCUGAGAGAUGCCUAAUGAUCCCAGGAGAAGGAUCUCCCAGCACAGCAUAAUCUAAUGGAUAUUUAGAGUGGCAAUCUAGCAGGGACAACAAAUGAAGCAGUGCUGGAAAUCCAUGGUUGCAACAGCAGCUCAAAUUUAAAACGUUUCUGCUCCCUGUAUCUGCAUUUCACACAGCUAUCAGUAUCAGCUUAUUCUGUAAGCUUAGCUGGCUCUUCUCUUCCUCCUCAAAAUCCCUCCCAGAAGCUCCUUGCUGCAGCCCUGUUUGCCAAUUAGCCUCUGCUUCUGUUGUGUGCAGCUAUGGCUUAGGAAAAAGCAGUACUUUUUUUAUUCCAUCUGUGGAACAAACUGCCUUGUGCUUCUGUUCCACCCAAGGGGAGGAUCUUUGGCCCCCUAAAACUGUUUGGCUUCCUUCCACCCAUGACUGUACCAUGGGUGUAGGUCAAACCUGCCAUGCCAUUCUGUUGUUAGCCUACCAACGCAGGGCAUCUGCAUUCCUACUGACACGUGGUUGAGGAUGUCUGGCAACAUCUUUGCUUCCAAAGCAUGCAACAGACUCAUUACUUUCUCUCCUUCCGGAAAAAUAAAGUCAGGAAAACCUCUUGUUUCACACUGAGCUGUGCAGGAUUGUAUGGCUGCCUUCUUUCUUCUUAAGAGUAACUGGGGACCCUGAAGUGGAGACUGAGUCUCUCCUUUCAUUUGGUUGUAUUGGGUGAAUUACCUACUUUGGAGCCUCAUGGAAGAGGUGUUGUAAAUGAAAGCAGCUUUUGCAUGUUUUUAUUUUUCUUCCCAGAAAAUCUCUUACCCAUUUCACACCUGGUCAUUUUCAUGUCCAUAACCUGAAAAACAGUCCAAGUAGCACAUAGUGAACUUCAUUAUUAGCAUACGUGGUAAAUCACAGUGCAAGAGUUAGAUUUGGUUUUGCAAUUGGAAUACAUACAUAUCUAUCCAUAGCUUUAUGGUCUGGACAUUAGAGAAGAAUUCAUCCAGAUGGAUGGAGAAGGGAAAUCACUUGUAAAUUGCAAAUGAAAAUGUCUCAGUCUCUAUAGAUUUGGCACAGAAAUAGGAGCAGUGGGAAAAAGCAGCUUAUUCACCCUUUAAGGUGAAAAGAAAGCAUGUUCCCAAAAUAUAUUAAAUCACAGAUCUAGUCAUAUACUCUUCCAUGUUACAUGAUAGAUUCAUUUCUGUUCUUUUAAAACCAUCCUUUUGUGGUCCAUUAGACCAGCUUACCAACUGGGUUGCUGGUAGGUUAAAUUUGUAGUUGUAAUCUCUUGAUGUUAAAACAAUCUUUUUUCUUGAACUUGCAGGCGCAGAGCCAUGUCUUUCAGUAUGCUACUAUUAGUAGGCAAAGAACUAUAAUUUGCAUAUUGGAAAAUGAAGUGGGGAGAUGUUUAACGUUCACCGUUAGUUUUUAAUUAAGAAAUUAAUACGAUGAGCCAAUAAGACCUUUAAUUCUGUGUCUGUACUAGAUACUGAUACCAAUAAAUUCUUUGUAUUUCUUUUU
rnacentral:lncRNA from 7 species